rnacentral:rRNA from 1 species
GAGUUUGAUCUUGGCUCAGAACGAACGCUGGCGGCAUGCCUAACACAUGCAAGUCGAACGCCUGCAGCAAUGCAGGAGUGGCAGACGGGUGAGUAACACGUGGGAAUCUACCCAGUAGCUCGGAAUAACCGCGGGAAACUGCGGCUAAUACCGGAUAAGCCCCGAGGGGGAAAGGAGCAAUCCACUAUUGGAGGAGCCCGCGUCUGAUUAGCUAGUUGGUGAGGUAAUGGCUCACCAAGGCGAUGAUCAGUAGCUGGUUUGAGAGAACGACCAGCCACACUGGGACUGCGACACGGCCCAGACUCCUACGGGAGGCAGCAGUGGGGAAUAUUGGGCAAUGGGCGAAAGCCUGACCCAGCCACGCCGCGUGAGUGAUGAAGGCCUUCGGGUCGUAAAGCUCUGU